rnacentral:rRNA from 1 species
CCUACGGGAGGCAGCAGUGAGGAAUAUUGGUCAAUGGGCGCGAGCCUGAACCAGCCAAGUCGCGUGAAGGAUGACUGCCCUACGGGUUGUAACCUUCUUUUAUAAAGGAAUAAAGUGAGACACGUGUGCAUUUUUGUAUGUCCUUUAUGAAUAAGGAUCGGCUAACUCCGUUACAGCAGCCGCGGUAAUACGGAGGAUCCGCGCGUUAUCCGGAUUUAUUGGGUUUAAAGGGAGCGUAGAUGGGUUGGUAAGUCAGUUGUGAAAGUUUGCGGCUCAACCGUAAAAUUGCAAUUGAUACUGGCAGCCUUGAGUACAGUUGAGGUAGGCGGAAUUCGUGGUGUAGCGGUGAAAUGCGUAGAUAUCACGAAGAACUCCGAUGGCGAAGGCAGCCUGCUAAACAGCCACUGACAUUGAGGCGCGAAAGUGUGGGUAGCAAACAGGAUUAGAUACCCCUGUAGUC